rnacentral:tRNA from 1 species
AAUAAAAUGGCUGAGUUAAAGCGAUAAAUUGUAAAUUUAUUUACGAGAAAAAAAUUCUCUUUUAUUA